UUCACUUCGACCAAGUAGGAGCGUGGUGCCACUUUCUGUACACAGGAUCCGAGUCUCCAGAGGCCUGUACGGUCCCCUGGUAAUGGCUCCAUUUGCACCGUUUCACCCACCCUGAGCUUAGGUCCACUUAAUAGCAUGUGGGAUGAAAAGACAAUUGUCAUCUCACAGCUUCUUCCGACUUCAUUGCUUUUAUCAGUCAUUAUUGAGGUUCAGUUUCCUAUUCCACCUAGGGGAGUGGCAGCUCCGGGCAGUGACAUCACCCUUAGAUGCUCUUUCUCUUCGUCUAAAAACCUGAACCUCAACCACCUGAUUGUCAACUGGCAGCGUGGAGAAUCAAUGGUGGUCCACAGCUAUUACCAUGGAAGAGAUCAGCUGGACAGAGUGUUGUUUACAAAGGAUGCACCCAUCUGUUUGAAGACCAGCUCGCUGUGGGAAAUGUCUCACUUAGACUGAGUGGUGUGCAGCUGAGUGACCAGGGCAUUUUUGUCCGUUCAGAUUUUUUAGGAAUCUUGCAUGUAUGGGGGAUAAAUAGACGUAAAAUUAUUAAGCAAUCUGCACAAAAUGAACUUAGUUAUCUACUUGCCUAAAGCCCUUUGCAGUCAGAAUUCUCCUUUGUUAAGAGUUGAAUAUGAGUAUUGUUGUUUCUGUUUACCCCUGGCCCCCUUCAAGAAUCCACAGCUCAGCUGUCUGUACAGUCAUCCUGUGAUAGCUUCAUCAUCACCCUCACCUCCUCCCAGGCUUUCCCCCAGCCUGACGUGUGGUGGACGGACUCCAUUGGAGGAGACAUCUCCAAUUAGAGCCACUGCCGAAUCGGUCUGGACAGCAGGGGGCGCUAUGGGGUCCACAGCUCCAUGGAGGACAGGCCAAACAGUACACUCACCAUCAUUGCUGAAAUGAGACUGGAGGAUCUCAAUCAAAGCUUCACCCGCUCGCUCACC